rnacentral:rRNA from 1 species
AAGCGGAGGAAAAGANACCAACAGGGAUUGCCUNAGUAACGGCGAGUGAAGCGGCAACAGCUCAGAUUUGAAACCUGGCCCCGGGCCCGGAUUGUAAUCUGUAGAAGGUGCCUCGGGCGCGACACCGGCCUAAGUUCCUUGGAACAGGGCGUCACAGAGGGUGAGAAUCCCGUACGUGGCCGGCCGUCAAGCCCGCGUGAGGCCCUUUCGACGAGUCGAGUUGUUUGGGAAUGCAGCUCUAAAUGGGUGGUAAAUUUCAUCUAAAGCUAAAUACCGGCCAGAGACCGAUAGCGCACAAGUAGAGUGAUCGAAAGAUGAAAAGCACUUUGAAAAGAGAGUUAAAAAGUACGUGAAAUUGUUGAAAGGGAAGCGCUCGCAACCAGACUCGCACGCGGGUGUUCAGCCGCCCCACGGGGCGGUGCACUCUCCCGCGAUCGGGCCAGCAUCGGUUCGGGCGGUCGGAUAAAGGCCCCGGGAAAGUAGUUCCUCUCGGGGAAUGUUAUAGCCCGGGGUGCAAUGCGGCCAGCCCGGACCGAGGACCGCGCUUUUGCUAGGAUGCUGGCGUAAUGGUUGCCAGCGACCCGUCUUGAAACACGGACCAAGGAGUCGACCAACCGCGCGAGUGUUUGGGCUAGAAACCCAUGCGCGCAAUGAAAGUGAACGGAGGUGGGAGCCCCUUCCGGGGCGCACCAUCGACCGAUCCUGAUGUCUUCGGAUGGAUUUGAGUAUGAGCGCCGCUGGUCGGACCCGAAAGGUACGUUCUAUUUAUUUCUUUUGUUGGCACCGGGGGAUUCUACACAAUCUUGGCAUUUUGUGGCUUCUGGGUGUAGAAUCAGCCCGGGGCCUUCCCCUCCCCUUUUUAAAUUUUAAACGAAAAUGUGCUAACUUUGUUUUCUUCAGAUGGUGAGCUAUGCGUGAAUAGGGUGAAGCCAGAGGAAACUCUGGUGGAGGCUCGCAGCGGUUCUGACGUGCAAAUCGAUCGUCAAAUUUGCGUAUAGGGGCGAAAGACUAAUCGAACCAUCUAGUAGCUGGUUCCUGUCGAAGUUUCCU